CUCCUACGGGAGGCAGCAGUGGGGAAUUUUGGACAAUGGGGGCAACCCUGAUCCAGCCAUCCCGCGUGUGCGAUGAAGGCCUUCGGGUUGUAAAGCACUUUUGGCAGGGAAGAAAGGGCGCUGGUUAAUACCUGGCGUUGAUGACGGUACCUGCAGAAUAAGCACCGGCUAACUACGUGCCAGCAGCCGCGGUAAUACGUAGGGUGCAAGCGUUAAUCGGAAUUACUGGGCGUAAAGGGUGCGUCGGCGGUUUGGCAAGAAAGGUGUGAAAUCCCAGGGCUUAACCUUGGAACUGCACUUUUAACUGCCAGGCUAGAGUACGUCAGAGGGGGGUAGAAUUCCACGUGUAGCAGUGAAAUGCGUAGAGAUGUGGAGGAAUACCGAUGGCGAAGGCAGCCCCCUGGGAUGAUACUGACGCUCAGGCACGAAAGCGUGGGGAGCAAACAGGAUUAGAUACCCUGGUAGUCCACGCCCUAAACGAUGUCAACUAGCUGUUGGGGCCGUUAGGCUUUAGUAGCGCAGCUAACGCGUGAAGUUGACCGCCUGGGGAGUACGGUCGCAAGAUUAAAACUCAAAGGAAUUGACGG
rnacentral:rRNA from 1 species